GACGAACGCUGGCGGCGUGCCUAAUACAUGCAAGUAGAACGCUGAAGGAGGAGCUUGCUUCUCUGGAUGAGUUGCGAACGGGUGAGUAACGCGUAGGUAACCUGCCUGGUAGCGGGGGAUAACUCUUGGAAACGAUAGCUAAUACCGCAUAAGAGUAGAUGUUGCAUGACAUUUUCUUAAAAGGUGCACUUGCAUCACUACCAGAUGGCCCUGCGUUGUAUUAGCUAGUUGGUGGGGUAACGGCUUACCAAGGCGACGAUACAUAGCCGACCUGAGAGGGUGAACGGCCACAAUGGGAAUGAGACACGGCCAAGAAUCCUACGGGAGGCAGCAGUAGGGAAUCUUCGGAAAUGGACGGAAGUCUGACCGAGAAACGCCGCGUGAGUGAAGAAGGUUUUCGGAUCGGAAAGCUCUGUUGUAAGAGAAGAACGAGUGUGAGAGUGGAAAGUUCACACUGUGACGGUAUCUUACCAGAAAGGGACGGCUAACUACGUG
rnacentral:rRNA from 1 species